GCAAGUCGAACGCUGAAACUUAGUAGACUUCUUCGGAAAGACACUAAGCGGAUUAGUGGCGAACGGGUAAGUAACGCAUGAGUAACCUGCCUUACACAAGGGGAUAGCCUUUGGAAACGAAGAAGAAUAACCUAUAAAACCAUAAAAUCACGUGCUAGAAUGGUCAAAGUGAUAGCGGUGUAAGAUGGACUUGCGUCUGAUUAGCUAGUUGGUGAGAUAAAAGCUCACCAAGGCAACGAUCAGUAGCCGGCUUGAGAGAGUGUAC
rnacentral:rRNA from 1 species